AUAAAUAAAUGCUAGCUAGCUAGCUAUACGUGCUUUUCCGCCAUAAUGAGGUAAAAUUCCAUUAUGGUGUGACGUGAGAGUUAGACGCAAUCGUUGUAACCCUAUAUAAAUUUAGUAAUUUAUAUAGGGAAUAUGCACGUAUAUAUACACUCAUGCUUUUCCGCCAUAAUGAGGUAAAAUUCCAUUAUGGUGUGACGUGAGCAUUAGACGCAAGCAUAGUAGCCUUCUAUGAAUUUCAAUUUUUCUUAUACCUUCAUAGAAUUCGUACAAGGAGUAUGACGAGUGUAAAUACAUACUUAUAUAUAUCUAUAUAUUAUUUUAGCCUGAGAGGCUUCAUUUUAUUAAAUUUGGAGACUAGCCGAAGCUACUCAUGUAAUUACCAAUUGAUGAGUUGAGAGCUUUUGAGCUGUCCCAUGCAGCAUAUUUUCUAUGGAAAUUUAAAUUGGGAAAGCAUAAAUAUUUUUAUUAAAUUUAUUUUUGUACACUCACUCUAACGUUUGCAAAUGUUUUCCCCUGCGCCCUUCAUUUUAAAAAUGCACAGUUUGCAGGUUAGCAUAGUUGAGGUCGGGCGUACAUAGAGAAGAGGCAUAGUCAAUAGUAUAGCUUCUGCUCAUUUUUAUGUUUCUAGUUCCUUUCCUCUCAAUUAGAGUUGCUCUGAACUAUGAUUGUCGGUUGUGGGAUUCUACUUAUUAAAGUUAGUAAUUUUUUUUUAAAAAAAAAAACGUUUAAUUAAUAACUCACACACCCUAUAUAUGUCCGUGAGGUUUGAACCCGUGACCUCAAAGUUGUUAGUUAAACACCUUAACCAACCAAGCCACGGCUCACUGACAAAAAUAGGGAGAUGUUGUGAUUUGGGGAGCACAAAGGCUCCAGGGGUAAAGGGUUAUAGAUGGAUUCUUUUGGAGUGUAUGCAGGUAUUUUUAGGAAGGGUUGUCCAUUUUCAAGGGAGGUUAUGCCGAAUUUUCGGUUAAUUUUCCUUGGAAGUGGUCCCCGCAAGAUUUACUUCAGGUUUCAGGGUGAAAUUCGGGGUGUAUCGUGACAGUUGGUUUCAGAGCAUUAGGUUAUUCAAUUCCUUUCCCUUUUUAGCACUACCUCAUAUUCUUGGUCAUGGUUAGUGUCUAUAGAGUGAUGGUCCGAUCGCGAUGGAUGCAUUAACAUUAUAUGCUUUAGACACUAAGUGUUGAUUAAGUUUGUGAUGUGGUCGUUCUUAUUUUAUUUAUGGACCGUAGUGUGCCAUAAAUGUCUACAUCUCUAAGACUAUGCCUCGGUACGCCAACCUCUUAAGUAAAUCAUUCUGCUUUGAGAAAUGAAAAGGUGUAUGGAUCACGCCUUUUCCAAGGGUAUCGAGUUGAUAUCAUAAAUUGUUAGAGUUCAAUUGCGAGUUGAGAACUCCAAUUGGGAACUCAUAAGCGUGGCAUCACUCUUUUCUUUUUAUCAAUGAUUGUUUGGGUGAUGAUUAAGAUGCUAGAUUGGGCAAUUUGUGCAAAUCUGUGAUAGGUGAAAUAUUUCAAUUUAUGUUUUGGGAGUUUUCUGUUUUUGGUAGGCAAGUAAGGAGUUGUUGUAGUCCGAUAGAAAAUCUUGGCUUCGAGUUACGUGACUUCUAGGAGAAAAUUGUUGGAAAGAAAGUUCAAAGUAGUGGUGUAUUCUUUUGAUGUUAAAGUUAGUUGAAGUGUUAUGGUGGGGAACUUAUAGUAACUCUUGGAGGUAUCUUUAUGAGUUGUUGCGAACCCUAAGCUUGAGCGAUUUAGUCACGUGGGAUUUGUGGCUAGUGUUUGGGUUGUAAGGCAUUGCUACAUAAAAAGCUAAAUGUCAAUUUAGAUAAGUCAUGAUUGAAGGCUAAUUUGCCGACUAUUUUUAUCUGCAACAGAAAACAGUUGGGAACAUUUUGGGAUAAUGUUGGUUAUAUCAGCACAUAUUCUGGUUCCUACAACUCUAAUUAUGGAUAAGUUUUUAUCCUUAGAGCAUUCUAUUAAGAUGGUAGUGGUAUAUAUUUUGAAAAUGACGAAUUAUAGUAGUCGAUGAAUAAUAAAAAUUCUGAUGUUUUUGUCUCUAUUGUGGGUUAGUUGAAGCUUGUUAAAUCACUAAGUGUAAUGACUUGGAUUGCUUUUCCUUGGGUUGGUUUUAGAUAAGUCAUUGGUCAGUGCGUUGUGACAACUCGUUUUUGUGCCACAAUCGGGAAAUUUUAGAAAUUGAAUGAUGGCACUAAAUGUUUUGAGUUUCAAGCUUGUUUGGAAUCGUAGAGUGAGAUGUCAGUUAUAUUAUUUUAAUCGUGGGGCCAUUAUGGAUUCUUUCGGAAUUCUAGGUGUUGAAGUUUGGUUUCCAAAUUUGUUAAGUGUUUUGGGAAGAUGAUAAAUUAAAAUGGAAUUGAAAAGUAAUGGUGGAGUGGGAGCGGAAUGGUUAUGGUCGCUCUGGUUUUUCGACAACACCUGGUGAAUUUAUUACGUGUUGUCGUAGGUGUUAUAAAUUAGUUGUGUGGAGCUGGUGGAAGUGGUAGCAGUGGAAUAAAACCCACUGGAGUAUGGAGUAAGAGUGUGUGGGUGUCCAUAGUAAUUUUAAGCAGUGUCGUUCUGGAUAGUUGAAAUAUGUCUUGAAUUUGUGAUCGAAGUUGGUUUAUUGACAUCACUUCGUUAGCUUUUGGUGACUAGCUAUGACACAUCAAUGGGAUGAUCUGUUCACUCACCUUAUAUCUAAUUCGGUGAUGUGGAGCAGAGUUUUGGUUGUUGUGUAUGUGAGAAUAUAUAAAUUAUUCCUACUGUAGUUUUUGGGUAGCAUCCUCAGAGCUUGAAAUUAUGGAGUGCGAAUUCAAACUCUUUGAUUUGAAGGUUAGUGAUUCUGGUUAGUUUGUCGAAUUUUUUUGAGGCAAAUGAUAAAUUGGUUGUUGUGUCGUAGACAUGGAUCAUGGGUAAAUCCAGUGGUGAUCCUAAGUGAGCUGGAGUUUAAUUAAGCGAUGAAUCUUGGAGCCGUAUGUCCUAUGUGGUAGUCUGAGAGUCACGUGGUGAUGUUGAAUAGAUGGUUUGUGUCGUUGUAGGUAUAGUUUAUGUUGUAGCCUUAUGGAAGAGGGUUUUCCCCUGUUGACUCAAGAAGCAUUUUGAGUCAAAGUUUAUUAAGAGAUUUAAUAUGUGAAUAGUAGAUAUAUGGGUAGGUUGAAUGACGUCUCUUCUCAGGAUCGUAUUGUGGUGGGACCACUUAUUGAUCCAAGUUUGAUUUGGGAGGUCUUUGCUAUUUGGUUGUGUGUUCAUCCGUUGGUGUCAGGGUGAUUAGUUGAAACCACUUUUAAAUGUUUGUUUCUAGUGCGUUUUCGAAACGGGUUCUAGUGGACGUCGGUGAUUUGUGGAGCUUUUGAGGUCGAAGUGUGGGACUUGUCUUUCAUGAAUUUUAAGUUAUUUUGUUACAUCUCAACCCUUAAAUUUUUACCUUAUUUAUUAGCUUUGUAUUUAAUAAGAAUUUUACCGUCUUCGUCAAUGAGUUAUUAGUUUAAUUGAUCCUUACAUGGGUUUUGGGGCACGUUUAUUUCGGAGGAUUAUUCGUAGGAGAAAAAUGUGACGACGGUAAAAAUGGUAAAUUUUAGUUAGUAAAAGGUAAUUUUUAUUAGGGUAUUUUUAUUCGGGUGUUUUAUGUUAUGGAGUGUGGGUAUUAAGGAGGGGCCGGGCCAUUUUUGGGGUCAAAGCCCACUCUCUCUUUCUCUUCUCUUCUCUCCCGAUUUCUCCCCGAGUUCUCUCCCUUACCAGAAUUUCUAGCCGCCCGUCCGCCGUCGUCCGGCCACCGUUCGCCGCCGCACCGGUCCCAAACGGUUGGCCGUCGACCUAGCUUCCUUCUUGGACCGGUGAGAGGCUCCCUAACGCCACCGUGAGAAAGAUAUCGGGCCCGAAAGGUCUGACUGCCCAAAGCCCUCCGUCGCCGGAACUUCCUCCUCCGGCCACCAAUCCGGGCAAGCCUUAUAUGGUUUUGAAGGUCUUCAACCCAGUUGCCUUGCCCUAGAAGGACUCGGUCCAGUUUGCUUUAAGUGAGGAGAACCGGUGAGUGGAAGUUCUAGGGUUUUUGUAUUGUUUUCGUUCGAUUGGCAUAGUUAGGCUUAGAAUUGGUGUUUGUGCUAGUUAGGAAAGUUGUAGAGGGGGUUGAGAGGAAGAUGCUGUUAAAAUUUGGUAGGCACUGGAGGUUGCCGGAGUGGUAGGCACUGGAGGUUGCCGGAGUCGGCCUCCAGCCGCCGCUGUUUAGGGGAUUUUCAUGGUUUUAAGUUGGUUAUUUUAAGGGGAGUUACUGAUGAGAAUUUUGGAAUUUUGGAGGAGUUUUGGAUAGGUUUAGGGAAUUUUAAAGUUUGGUAAUUUUGGCGGAUUAUUAGGGUAGAAUCCGGCCAUUGAAUUAAUGUUGUGUAGACUGUGGAAGGUUGUGUUAAGGCUGCCAUUAUUUUCUUCGGUGAAGUUUGGAGCUUAUUGAGUUAAGAAUGGCAAAGUGGGCAAGGAUGAGCGUGGUUAAGGCUCAUAUUUAAUUUUGCCCAUUUUGUAUAAAUAUUGGAUUUUUAGUUGAGAAAUUAAUUUUACAUUUGGAAUAGGACGUGAGGAGGCUUGAGCAGAAGAGGCCUCAGAUCGACAUCAGGCUUAGGCCUAUUUUGUGAGUGGACUUUUGUUUUAACUAAAAACAUGCAAUGCAUUAUAUUGUUGAUCAAUUAUUCUUCUGCUGAGAUUUAUUGCUUUCUCUAAUAUUUGGUAAUUUUCAUCUUUUGGAGAGUUCCCGAAAAUGAGAUUUUCGGUGGAUAUGUAUAUUGGAUGUUUAUGAGUAUAGUAUAUAUAUAAAUGCUAGUUAGACAUACGUGUUUGGUCCGUCAUAAUGAGGUAAAAUUCCAUUAUGGCGUGACGUGAGUGUUAGACACAAGCGUCAUAGCCCUAUAUGGAAACUAUUUUCUUAUCUAGUUCAUGUAAGUUUUCAUAUAGGGAGUCCACAUGUAUAUACACCCAUCCUCUUCGGUCAUAAUGAGGAAAAAAUUCCGUUAUGGCGCGACAUGAGCGUUAAACGUGAGCGUUAGACGCAAGCGUCGUAGCCUUGUAUGAAUUUCUAUUUUUUUAUCUUGUUCAUAGAAUUCGUACAAGAAGUCUGACGAGUGUAAAUACAUACACAUAUAUUUAAUUAGUUUUGUCUGAGAGGCUCCAGUUUUAUUGAGUUUUAGAGACUGGCCGAAGCUAGUCUUGUAUUUGCUAGUUUGUGAGUAGAAAGCUUUGAGCUGUCGCAUGCAGCAUAAUUUUUAUGGAAAUUAAAAUGGGAAUGAAUAAAUAUUUAUUUAUAAUUUAUUGUUGUCCACUCACUCUAACGGUUUCAAAUGUUUUCCCCUGGGCCCUUCGUUUUAAAAUGCCUAGUCUGUAGAGUGCGGGUUGGAUCUAGUAGGAAGCGAGGCAUAGUCACCCAUUUAUUCACCACCAUUCAUCAGUAGGUUACCUGUUAACCUACCAGCAUAUUUUCUUGCUUCCUCUAGCUUUAGCAGCUCUGAAUACCUUGAGGAUAAUGUGUAUUAGUUCGGUUGGGUGCUAAGUCUUAGAUUUAAAUUUGGAAUAUUUGAAGGUUGAAGUUUGUUAUUUCAUUUUCAUUUGGAAAUUUAUAAGAUGGAUUAGAAGAUGGUUUUAUUAUUUUGUUCUGGUGGUUGUAUUGUGGGGAACGGGUGGCUCCAGGAGUUGAGGUUGGAUGUGUCGAUAUAGGAGUGUGGUUUGAAUUGUUUUAUAGGUAACGGUUGUCCAUUUUCAAGGGAGGUUAUGCUGAAUUUUUCAGUAAACUUUCCUUAGAGGUGGUCCCCGCAAGACUUACUUCAGGUUUCAGGGUAAAAUUCGGGGUGGGUCUUGACAUAUUUAUUCUGGAGCUUGCGCUGAGAUUAGCCAUGAGCCUUGAUUCUUAUUGGAACUUAUAGUUUUCGUUGGAUGGUGAACCACAAAGUGUAAUAGUGGGCCUGUUACUGAAAUUAAUUUUUAUAUUCGAUGGUUAACUUGUUGCUGCAAGCUCAGUUAUCGGAAAAUCUUUUUGGUGGGAAGCCGUGGCGCCUGGAAGGUGUAGGAGACUUGAGCAUAUCUGAUUUUCAGUUCGUAUUCUGCUAUCAGAUUAAUUGUUAUUAGAGGUAGAAAAAGAAGUGUGUUUGUCGGGUCCAAAAGUUUUGGCAUUUAGAAUCAUUCUUGUGGAACGGCUAGAGUGAGCCGUGUGCUUUUAAUUGUUGCACUUGGGGUCACAGUUGCACCCGAAUAAGUAGCAUGACUGGAGAUGUAAAUUAUGUCAAUGCUUAAGGAAGGUGUUCUAUUUAUGUGGAUUUCAACGUCAAGUUUAGCAUCAUGAAUUGACUGUGCCAAUUUUCGUGGGCAUUAUUAGUCAGUUUUGUUUCUGGCGAGCAAGGAGGAAUAUCCAGUUUCCACAUGAUAGUCAUGUUUCAGAUUAUCUUCUGAUUUGUGGUAAAGAAAUUAGUGGAGAUAGUAGAAUCAGGAGAGAGUUGGAAUUCCCAUGAACUGCUAGUUUGUGGUGCUCAAAAUGGUAAUAUAAUAGUUUUGGUGGACAGACCUAAGUGACGUAGUAUUGAUCUCAACAUAAUAUCAUUUCGAGAAUCGAGGUUAUCAUAUGUUGGUGGACUGGUCACUUAGGCAGAGCAAGGUUGUCUUGUGGACUUGCGAGAGCUUUGACUCCGCAGAAGACUUUACGAAGUGUCUCGGUAUUAGAAGUGAUUGUUGCAGUUCUGCAGUGUAUGCAUCCUUAAAUCUAUUCAAUUAGCGGGUAUUAAUUUUGACCCCUAUGAGCAUGUGGGAAUGCGUAAACUUUAGUUUCCUAGCAAGUGGACUUCAUUGUUGAGUUGUGAGCAGUGUAAUGACAAGGUUGUUGCGUGACGUUAGGAGAUUUGAGCCCGAUGGUGAUAGCAAAUUUAUGUGCUUUAUUGGGGUUAGCUAUUUCCAUUGCUCAUGAAGGAGUGUGCAUACCUAUGGGUACUCGUACUCUAGAGCAGGUAUCGCUAAAAUCACUUACGUGUUGAUGUUAGUGGUUCAACGAAGGAUUUAGAGUCUUUAAGAAGAUUUAAAGUAGUCAGAGAUAGACUCAAAGCAGCUCAAAUUAGUCAGAAGAGUUAUAAAGAUGUCCGCGGGAAGGACCUUAAAUUUCAAGUAGGUGUUUAGGUGUUCUUGAAAUUAUCUUCUAGAAAAGGGGUAGCACGUUUUGGUAAUGUGGAAAGCUUAGUCUGAGGUAUAUUGGUCUUUAUGAGAUUAUAAAGCGAGUUGGCUCACUUGCGUAUCGUUUAGUUUGCCUCUAGAUUUAUCUAGGAUACAUAAUGUGUUUCAUGUAUCCAUGCUUCACAAGUAUAUUGCCGAUCCUUCUCAUGUGUUGCAAGAGCAGCCGAAUUGUUUGAAGAAAGAUUUGACUUAUGAAGAAGAGCCGGUUCAGAUUCUUGACCGACAAGAGCAAGUGCUUAGGAACAAGACAAUCCCACUUGUCGAGGUGCUUUGGAGAAGUCAUCAAGUAGAGGAAGCUACUUGAGAAUCAGAGGAGCAAAUGAGGCAGCAGUAUCCCUACCUCUUAGAAUUGGAGUUUGUGCUAGUUUGGAAAGUUGUAGAGUGUGUUGAGAGGAUGAAGCUGUUAAAAUUUGGUAGGCAUUGGGGUCGCCGGAGUUGGCCGCCACUGCCAGCAGAGCAGACGGCGGCACCGCCGCUGUUAGGGGGAUUUUCAUGGUUUUAAAUGUGUAAUAUUAAGGGGAGUUUAAUGGAAUGAAGUUUAGAAUUUUUGGAGGAGUUUUGAAUAGGUUUUGGAUUUUUUGAAAUAUUUGUGAAUUUGGCGGUUAAUGGGGUAGAAUCCGACCGUUCGAUUUUCCUUAUUAUUAUUUUAGAAUGUUGAAAUAAAUGAAUUGAGGCUGUGGUUGGAGUUUGGCGUGAAUCCGAUAAACUUAACCCUAGAAAGGAUAGUGGGUUAGGCGGAAGAGUUUUGAGUUAUAUAUUUACGUAUUAUUUUUUUCUGAAAUUAAAGUUUGGUCCUAUGCAUGGUUAUUGUGCCAGGAUUCGAGAAGACCUCUCUUGAGUGGCGAUUUGGAUUUCGUCGGGCGUAUGCCUAAAGUUGUGAGUGGACGUUCAUUUUAAAUUAUAAGCAUGCGGUGAUUUCAUAUUAAAUGAAUGAUUUUAUUGAAUAUCAUUUGUGGAAUGUUUAUUUUCGCGAAGUUAUUUUUGAAAGUAAAUGUUUUAUUUUAUUUGUUAACUUCGUUAUUUGGAAAGUUACUGAAAAUGAGAUUUUCGGUGGAGUCAUAUAUUUAUUGUUUCUUUAAUAAUUGGCAAUUUUCAUUAUUUUUGGAGAGUUACCGAAAAUGAGAUUUUUGGUGGACAUGUAUAUGGAUGAUUAUGAGGAUAGUAUGUAUAUAAAUAAAUGUUAGCUAGCUAUACGUGCUUUUCCGCCAUAAUGAGGUAAAAUUCUAUUAUGGUAUGACGUGAGCGUUAGACGCAAUCGUCGUAGCCCUAUAUAAAUUUAGUAAUUUAUAUAGGGAAUAUACACGUAUAUAUACACUCGUGCUUUUCCGCCAUAAUGAGAUAAAAUUCCAUUAUGGUGUGACGUGAGCAUUAGACGCAAACGUAGUAGCCUUAAAUGAAUUUCUAUUUUUCUUAUUCCUUCAUAGAAUUCGUACAAGGAGUAUGAUGAGUGUAAAUACAUAUAUAUAUAUAUAUAUAUUAUUUUAGCCUGAGAGGCUUCAUUUUAUUAAAUUUGGAGACUAGCCGGAGCUAGUCAUGUAAUUGCCAAUUGAUGAGUUGAGAGCUUUUGAGCUGUCGCAUGUAGCAUAUUUUCUAUGGAAAUUUAAAUUGGGAAAGCAGAAAUAUUUUCAUUAAAUUUAUUUUUGUCCACUCACUUUAACGUUUGCAAAUAUUUUCCCCUGGGCCAUUCGUUUUAAAAAUGCCCAGUUUGCAGGUUAGCAUAGAUGAGGUCGGGCGUACAUGGAGAAGAGGCAUAGUCAAUAGUAUAGCUUCUGCUCAUUUCUAUGUUUCUAGUUUCUUUCCUCUCAAUUAGAGUUGCUGUGAACUGUGAUUGUCGGUUAUGGGAUUAUGCUUAUUAAAGUUAGUAAAUAAAUUGGGAGAUGUUGUCAUUCGGGGAGCACGAAGGCUCCAGGAGUAGAGGGUUAUAGAUGGAUUCUUUUGAAGUGUAUGUAAGUAUUUUUAGAAAAGGUUGUCCAUUUUCAAAGGAGGUUAUGCCGAAUUUUCGGUAAAUUUUCCUUGGAGGUGGUCCCCUCAGGAUUUACUUCGGGUUUCAGGGUGAAAUUCGGGGUGGGUCUUGACAUCUAAUGCCCACCAAAUUUUAGCACAAUCAUCCUCUCAACAAUCCAAACAACUUUCAUAACUACCACAAACACCAAUUCCAUGCCUAACUAGGGUAAUCGAACCAAAACAGUAAAAAUCUCAAAUUCAAGCCCUAAUUAUUCAACCAGUUGGAUCUACUUACCUAGAACGAAUGGGAUCGAUUCCUUUUGAGGUUAUGCUACACAGGGCGAGAGCUUGAAGAUGAGACAAGUAUCUCCAGCUAUGGCGGCCGGAGAAGGAAAUUUCGGCGAGAGGUCCACCAACGUUCUUGUCGUGAUAUCUUCCAAGCGACGAUGAGAGGGGCGCUGCCACCAACCCAGGAAGAGAGAAGGGACGCCGGCAAGUCGAACCGGAUCGGUGCGGUGGUCUGAGCUGGUCGGACGGUGGAGCUCGGCGACGGCAAGUCAUCGGGCAGAGGGAGAGGGAGAGCGAAGCUCAAGGAAGAGUAGAGAAUAAGAGAGUUUGGGCCUUUUUUUUCUUUUUCCCCCAACUAGUUUCCUAAUCUGGAAGCUUCUAAAAUGUAAGUUUCCCAUUUCAAACCCAACCACAAAAUAAAAUUUCCCCCUUUCAAUAUCUAGUUUUUUACCUACUUUCCAAAACACAAGUAACUCAUGUCUGUUACUUCAUUUUAUCGUCCUUAACGACUUUCCUUUAAGGAACAAACCCCAUAAUAGUCAUCAUAUAAAAGUCGUCUCUGGUCCUUUGAACUAUAAGACCCCUAAUAAAGGCAGUAAAAACUCAAGGUUAUACAACGUAAAUAAUUAGGGUAACAAUUAAGGGUCGGGAUGUGACAUUGGAGGUGGUCGGAGAAGGCCCGGUCGGCCACCGCUGCCAGCGGAGCAAACAGCGGCGCCACCACUUUUGGAUAGUUUUUCAUGUUAAUUAAUUUGUUAUGCUGAGAGGGGUCCAAUGGUGUGCAAUUUGAGAGUUAUGAUGAAGUUUUUGAUAGGUUUGAGAUUAUUCAAAGUUUGGUUUUAUCGGUGUGCUACUCGGGAAGAUCCUACCGUUGGAUUUCCCCUAUUUCUGUUUCAGAAUGUUGAAAUAAAUGAAAUGAGGUUGCGGGUGGAGUCUGGUAUGAAUUCGAUAAGCUUAACUCUGGUAAGGGUAGUGGGUUAAGCGGAAGAGUUUUGGUGUUUAUAUUUAAGUAUGCUUCUUUCUGAAAUUGAAGUUUGGUCCUAAGCAUGGUUAUUGUGCCAGGAUAUGAGAGGACCUCCCUUGAGUGACAAUUUGGGUUUCGUCAGGCUUAGGCCUAAAUUUGUGAGUGAGCAUUUUGGUUUUUAGUUAAGAUUUUUAGUUAAUAUGCAUGAAUAAUUUUAUAACUAGUCCAUUAUAUUUUCCAAGCUUAAAAUUAUAAUUUCCGCUUUUGAAUUGGUUAUGGAAUUUAUUUGAGAUUAGCAUAUUAGUUAUGGAAUUUAUUUGAGAUUGACAUGUUGGUUAUGUUUUCGUUAACGAACUUAUGGAUUUGAGUAUGGGUAAGUGAUUUGAUAUUUGAGAAUAUUAUUCUUUAUGAUUGGCAAAUUUGAGAUUACAUUAAAGAUUUGAGUUUUCUCUAGUUUUUGAAACAUGUUGAUUAUUUGAGUUAUUUAUUCUCUUAAGCAAUUUAGCAUGUGGGACACGUUAUUGAAUUUAAUUUAUUUCUUUUCUUUUGGAAUUUUCUGAGUACGGUUGGGAACCGUACAUAUGCUUUAGUUAUGAGUUUCGAGGAAACUCACAUGAAUUCAUAUCUUCCUUCCUUAUGCCAUACUUAUUGGAUCGUUAUUAUUC
rnacentral:lncRNA from 1 species